rnacentral:lncRNA from 1 species
CGGGACCUUUCGCAUCAUUAUCAAGAAGUUGUAUACAAGGAGAAAGAAAAGGCGAAAGAAAUCAGUCGAGUGAGCAUCUCCGAUAUGCAAUGAGUUGCGGUGCACAGCAGCAACUGCAGUGCACUAUUUUACACCAACUGCAUUCUUCGUCGAGGUGCUAGUUUUAAAUCAUGGUAAACUUUGGCGUCGCGUGCUGCUGUUGGGUGUUGUAUAGUUGACGGCUGGUUCAGCCAUGGUGUACCAAUGUCUCCUGGGUAUGGUGGACAACAAAUCGCAACGCCGCCACCUUACUACACAACAUACGACACGACCAGUUGCUUCACCAAGGCCCCCAAGUACUACACCACCAAGGCUUAACAUUAUUGUACCAAAACUUAUGCUGCCUGAGCUACUACACCGAAGCCCCGAAGCAUUAUUCUUCCCCGAGGUACACAACCAGAGGUUCGAGUACUACAGCGAUGCACCGGAGUACUGCACCACCAAGGCACCGGAGUACUGCACCACCACAUAUUUCAUGGUUCUUAGAAAAGAUGAAACAAAUCAGUCAUCUCCGACACGACAACAUCAAUUGCAGUGCCAAGGCUUAGUAUUACACCACAAUUUAUGUUGCCCCGAGACUCUACACCAAAGCGCCUAAGUGCUAUAUCGAGGUCACUAAUUACUACACCACCAAGGCACCGGAUUACUACACUAAACAUACGCUGCUCCAGCUUAUUACACCGAGGCUCCCCAACACUACACCGGAGUACUACUACAUAUCAUGGUCGUAUGAAAGGAGAGUAAAGGUGGAAGAAUUCAGCAACCGAGUGAGCAUUUCCGUUACAGCAACAGGAACUGCCGUGCACUAGUUGUCAUCAUCUUCAUUCUUCGUCGCGUUACAAGUGUUUAAUAAAGUCUAGUUAACUAUGGUGGCGUGCUGCUGUUGGGUGUUGUAUCGUUGAUGGCUGGGUCGACCACUGGUGUGUUGAUUUCUCCUGGGCAUGGCGGGCAUGAACAACAACAUACGCAACAACCGGUCACUACACUGAGGCCCCCAAGUUCUACACCACCAAGGCUCCAGAGUAUUACACCACAGUUUAUGUUGGUCCGAGCUAUUCGCAGAAGCUCCGAAGUAUUUUUCUUUCUUUUU